UAACGCGAAGAACCUUACCAAGGCUUGACAUACACCGGAAACGGCCAGAGAUGGUCGCCCCCUUGUGGUCGGUGUACAGGUGGUGCAUGGUUGUCGUCAGCUCGUGUCGUGAGAUGUUGGGUUAAGUCCCGCAACGAGCGCAACCCUCGUUUUAUGUUGCCAGCGCGUUAUGGCGGGGACUCAUAGGAGACUGCCGGGGUCAACUCGGAGGAAGGUGGGGAUGACGUCAAAUCAUCAUGCCCCUUAUGUCUUGGGCUUCACGCAUGCUACAAUGGCCGGUACAAAGGGCUGCGAUACCGUAAGGUGGAGCGAAUCCCAAAAAGCCGGUCUCAGUUCGGAUUGAGGUCUGCAACUCGACCUCAUGAAGUCGGAGUCGCUAGUAAUCGCAGAUCAGCAA
rnacentral:rRNA from 1 species